rnacentral:lncRNA from 1 species
AGCCGUAGGUAGUAGUGACUGGGGAAUCCUGGAGGCCAGUGUGUACAUUAGCAGGCUAACAAGCAUCAUAGCUAGCCACUUGUCCUGAGGUAGGCUUGCUUGUUUUGUUUUUGGGACCUGGCACGAUGGGUAAAAUAAUCACCUAAAACUAAAAAAAAAAUCACAGAGCCUAGAGCUAAGGACCAGCUACUUCCUUCUUCCUCUGACCUGCCUUGUUAUCUGCAGGCCCAUGUGACAUCCACACAGGGCAGGACAAACACGCGUGUGAGGUGUUUGUGUAUUCAGGCACACACACACACACGCAUUCCUACCUCCUUAAGUAUGGCGGUGGUCUAGUACCGGGCUGUCCAUGACACCAAGCCACCGAUAGGUUGCAAACUUCUAGCUCAUUCUGCAGACAGGUUUCGGCUGGGUGGAUGGUGAGCUCACCAAGCACGCGUCGCACAGGGCCUUGAGGCAGGAACGUGCUGUUAUGCGAGCGUGUCCUGUGGGGAUCACCGCAUAAUUUAAUCAGCACUUUAGCAUGGUAUUUCUCCAGGGUGGGGAAGUAAUGAAGUCAGCACUCAGUGCUGGGAGUUCUCGGUUCAGCCUUGGGCACAGUGGUGACCUAGACUUGGGCUCAGUUAAACUCAGCACUGCCAGCAUCCGUGGUGUGACUAUAGUAGCCACUGUGGGCCAGGGAAAGGAGUAUCGUGGCCUCCCAACCCAUCAGAGACAAGUGGCAUCUUCCCAAUUCCAGCUGGGAAGAUAGUAUUUCAGGACACUGCCAAACGGCUCCUGAGGGUCAGGGAGAGAUUACCCCCGAGUUACAAAACACUGCCCUAACUUAAUUAGAAAGACAGGUUUGGGGAUGUGAACCAAGUGCUGUGAGUGGUUGCAGGAGGGAAAGUUAAUCGAGAAGAGGCUGGGCCGAGGUUGAAAUUCCAGGAGGCCGAGGGUGUAAGAUAGAGAAUUUGAGCUAGCCUGGGAUACAGAGACACACCCCCCUCCAACCCAAAAGCAAAAGAAAGGGGUGGGGAGAAAGGGCAGCAAGAAAGAAAAAUUCUUUCAGGCUUCAUUUCAAAACGUUCUGUAGUAAGCAAUAGGAAGAAAGAGGCUAAAAUAAGUGGUCAGUCAAAACGCAGCGGGGCUCACUGUGAGUUAAUCCACACAAACCAAUAGCCGUCUCAGUAGGUUUCAGAAUAGACGUAAGACCGGGCAUGGUGGCACGUGGUUCAAUUUCUGGCACUCGGAAGGCUGGGCAGGUGAGUCCAAGUCCAAGGACAGCUUGGAUUCCGUGCAGAGUCCUGCCUGAAACACAAAAUUUUUUUUAAAGAUUAAUAAAAUAUUUUCUUAAUUAAUGGUGGUGAUUCUGACGACAACAAC